CAGCCGCCACGGUAAUACGGAGGGUGCAAGCGUUAAUCGGAAUUACUGGGCGUAAAGCGCACGCAGGCGGUCCGACAAGUCAGAUGUGAAAUCCCCGGGCUUAACCUGGGAACUGCAUUUGAAACUGUCAGGCUGGAGUCUUGUAGAGGGGGGUGGAAUUCCAGGUGUAGCGGUGAAAUGCGUAGAGAUCUGGAGGAAUACCGGUGGCGAAGGCGGCCCCCUGGACAAAGACUGACGCUCAGGUGCGAAAGCGUGGGGAGCAAACAGGAUUAGAUACCCCGGUAGUCCAUGUCUCUUAUAC
rnacentral:rRNA from 1 species